UAUAUUCUCCCUCUGUUCCGAAUUACUUGUCGCAUGUAUGGACGUAUCUAGAUGUAUUUUAGUUCUAGAUACAUCCAUUUCUGCGACGAGUAAUUUGGAAUGGAGGGAGUAGGAA
rfam:Triticum aestivum genome assembly, contig: Triticum_aestivum_CS42_TGACv1_scaffold_000721_1AL